CGGGGAGAAGAAGGUAGCUUAGCUACUGAUCUUAGCGGCGGACGGGUGAGUAAUGCUUAGGAAUCUGCCUAUUAGUGGGGGACAACAUUUCGAAAGGAAUGCUAAUACCGCAUACGUCCUACGGGAGAAAGCAGGGGAUCUUCGGACCUUGCGCUAAUAGAUGAGCCUAAGUCGGAUUAGCUAGUUGGUGGGGUAAAGGCCUACCAAGGCGACGAUCUGUAGCGGGUCUGAGAGGAUGAUCCGCCACACUGGGACUGAGACACGGCCCAGACUCCUACGGGAGGCAGCAGUGGGGAAUAUUGGACAAUGGGCGCAAGCCUGAUCCAGCCAUGCCGCGUGUGUGAAGAAGGCCUUAUGGUUGUAAAGCACUUUAAGCGAGGAGGAGGCUACUUUAGUUAAUACCUAGAGAUAGUGGACGUUACUCGCAGAAUAAGCACCGGCUAACUCUGUGCCAGCAGCCGCGGUAAUACAGAGGGUGCAAGCGUUAAUCGGAUUUACUGGGCGUAAAGCGCGCGUAGGCGGCUAAUUAAGUCAAAUGUGAAAUCCCCGAGCUUAACUUGGGAAUUGCAUUCGAUACUGGUUAGCUAGAGUGUGGGAGAGGAUGGUAGAAUUCCAGGUGUAGCGGUGAAAUGCGUAGAGAUCUGGAGGAAUACCGAUGGCGAAGGCAGCCAUCUGGCCUAACACUGACGCUGAGGUGCGAAAGCAUGGGGAGCAAACAGGAUUAGAUACCCUGGUAGUCCAUGCCGUAAACGAUGUCUACUAGCCGUUGGGGCCUUUGAGGCUUUAGUGGCGCAGCUAACGCGAUAAGUAGACCGCCUGGGGAGUACGGUCGCAAGACUAAAAACUCAAAUGAAAUUGACGGGGGCC
rnacentral:rRNA from 1 species